GUACAGAGUCAAUGUGGAGGCUAUAUACAGGGAGGUACCGGUACAGAGUCAAUGUGGAGGCUAUAUACAGGGAGGUACUGGUACAGAGUCAAUGUGGAGGCUAUAUACAGGGAGGUACCGGUACAGAGUCAAUGUGGAGGCUAUAUACAGGGAGGUACCGGUACAGAGUCAAUGUGGAGGCUAUAUACAGGGGGUACCGGUACAGAGUCAAUGUGGAGGCUAUAUACAGGGAGGUACUGGUACAGAGUCAGUGUGGAGGCUAUAUACAGGGGGUACCGGUACAGAGUCAAUGUGGAGGCUAUAUACAGGGAGGUACCGGUACAGAGUCAAUGUGGA
ensembl:lncRNA